AUUAUUAUAAGUAAAAUCUGCUCAAUGUAAUAAUAAAUAGCCGCAGAUACCCUGUGCUAAGGUAGCAUAAUCAUUAGCCUUUUAAUUGAAGACUAGUAUGAAUGAUUUUACAUUUUAAUUUAUUUUUUUUUUACCUUAAUUUAAAUUUAAUUAAGCAUAAAAAUGUUCUUAUAAAUAAAAAAGACGAUAAGACCCUAUUGAACUUAACUUAAGUUAAGCUGGGGAAGCUAAUUAAAUAUAAUUUUAAUUAAACUAAAUUUAAAAAAAUCCAAUUCCAUUGAUCAAACAAGUUACCAUAGGGAUAACAGCGUAAUAUUUUUUAAAAGCUCUUAUUUAAAAAAAAGAUUGCGACCUCGAUGUUGAAUUAAUUUUACUAUAAAACGGAAACCGUUUUAAAAGUAGGUCUGUUCGACCUUUAAAUAAUUACA
rnacentral:rRNA from 1 species